rnacentral:rRNA from 1 species
GAUGAACGCUGGCGGCGCGCCUAAUACAUGCAAGUCGAGCGAACGGACGAUAAGCUUGCUUCUCUGAUGUUAGCGGCGGACGGGUGAGUAACACGUGGAUAACCUACCUAUAAGACUGGGAUAACUUCGGGACACCGGAGCUAAUACCGGAUAAUAUUUUGAACCGCAUGGUUCAAAAGUGAAAGACGGUCUUGCUGUCACUUCUAGCUGGAUCCGCGCUGCAUUAGCUAGUUGGUAAGGUAACGGCUUACCAAGGCAACGAUGCAUAGCCGACCUGAGAGAGUGAUCGGCCACACUGGAACUGAGACACGGUCCAGGCUCCUACGGGAGGCAGCAGUAGGGAAUCUGCCGCAAUGGGCGAAAGCCUGACGGAGCGACGCCGCGUGAGUGAUGAAGGUCUUCGGAUCGUAAAACUCUGUUAUUAGGGAAGAACAUAUGUGUAAGUAACUGUGCACAUCUUGACGGUACCUAAUCAGAAAGCCACGGCUAACUACGUG